CUAUAUACAAUAAGAAUCCACCUUUAGGAUUUUCUUUUAGAAAAUUGUAUAUGCAGCUAGAUGAGGGAAGCCUCACCUUUAAUGCCAACCCAGAGGAGCCACAGGGAACAAGAUUCUCCAAAGGACACCGUCAUGUCAUGGAUAUGGGUAACCAAACUCCAUAGCAACUGCUGGCAGUGGCUCGUGGGGUGGGGGAGAACAUCUGCACAAUUUGGGAGUGAGCUACUUUAUGUCCAAGGGUAUCCUAGAUGAUUCGCCAAAGGAAAUAGCAAAAUUUAUCUUCUGUACCAGAACACUAAAUUGGAAAAAACUGAGAAUCUAUCUUGAUGAAAGGAGAGAUGUCUUGGAUGACCUUGUAACCUUGCAUAAUUUUAGGAAUCAGUUUUUGCCAAAUGCAUUGCGAGAAUUUUUUCGUCACAUUCAUGCUCCUGAGGAACGUGGGGAGUACCUUGAAACUCUUAUAACA
rnacentral:lncRNA from 1 species